AUUUUUCAAUAAUGAGAGACUAGUAUUCUAUUUAUAAGAAAACUAACAUAUUAAACUAAUGGGCUUUUACACACAUGCCCAUUACACAAGUUAACUUAGAGAACAAGCUAACUUAAACAAUUUGGCAUAACAAACAGGCCCAAUUAAACAUGCUAACAAUCUUAUCAUACUUCGACUACAACAUGUGAACAGACUUCGAUGACGUGCUAAGGUCCUGUCGAAUUAUAAACC
rnacentral:lncRNA from 1 species